GGAAGGAUGAGAAGCUUCGACUAAGGUUCGACUCGAGCGAAGCGAGAGAACGUUGCCGCAGGCAACGGCCCGAAGGGCGAGGCGCUUUAGCGCCGAGUAAUCCUUCCCCCACCACUG
rnacentral:sRNA from 1 species